rnacentral:rRNA from 1 species
CGCAAGCCUGACGGAGCCAGACCGCGUGAGGGAAGAAAGCCUUUGGGUUGUAAACCUCUUUUCUCAGGGAAGAAGCUCUGACGGUACCUGAGGAAUCAGCCUCGGCUAACUCCGUGCCAGCAGCCGCGGUAAUACGGAGGAGGCAAGCGUUAUCCGGAAUUAUUGGGCGUAAAGCGUCCGCAGGUGGCGAUUCAAGUCUGCUGUCAAAGCACGGGGCUUAACUCCGUUAAGGCAGUGGAAACUGAAUGGCUAGAGUGCCGUAGGGGUAGAGGGAAUUCCCGGUGUAGCGGUGAAAUGCGUAGAGAUCGGGAAGAACAUCGGUGGCGAAAGCGCUCUACUGGACGGCAACUGACACUCAGGGACGAAAGCUAGGGGAGCG